CACCCCUGACGCUGGUUAGAGAGACAACUCUUUGGUUGUGCUCUUCUCAUAUCAGUCAGGGGCAUAGCAGCUGUAUAGUACAAGUUCAUGCCAGCUUGACACUUUGCUGGGUAUCCAUAGCUGGUUCCUACCUGGGGCACAUAA
rnacentral:snoRNA from 1 species